GUCGAGGGGUAUAUGUCUUCGGAUAUAGAGACCGGCGCACGGGUGCGUAACGCGUAUGCAAUCUGCCUUUCACAGAGGGAUAGCCCAGAGAAAUUUGGAUUAAUACCUCAUAGUAUUAUGGAGUGGCAUCACUUUAUAAUUAAAGUCACAACGGUGAAAGAUGAGCAUGCGUCCCAUUAGCUAGUUGGUAAGGUAACGGCUUACCAAGGCAACGAUGGGUAGGGGUCCUGAGAGGGAGAUCCCCCACACUGGUACUGAGACACGGACCAGACUCCUACGGGAGGCAGCAGUGAGGAAUAUUGGACAAUGGGCGCAAGCCUGAUCCAGCCAUGCCGCGUGCAGGAUGACGGUCCUAUGGAUUGUAAACUGCUUUUGUACGAGAAGAAACACUCCUAUGUAUAGGAGCUUGACGGUAUCGUAAGAAUAAGGAUCGGCUAACUCCGUGCCAGCAGCCGCGGUAAUACGGAGGAUCCAAGCGUUAUCCGGAAUCAUUGGGUUUAAAGGGUCCGUAGGCGGUCUUGUAAGUCAGUGGUGAAAGCCCAUCGCUCAACGGUGGAACGGCCAUUGAUACUGCAGGACUUGAAUUAUUAGGAAGUAACUAGAAUAUGUAGUGUAGCGGUGAAAUGCUUAGAUAUUACAUGGAAUACCAAUUGCGAAGGCAGGUUACUACUAAUUGAUUGACGCUGAUGGACGAAAGCGUGGGGAGCGAACAGGAUUAGAUACCCUGGUAGUCCACGCCGUAAACGAUGGAUACUAGCUGUUGGGGGGCAACUUUCAGUGGCUAAACCGAAAGUGAUAAGUAUCCCACCCUGGGGGAGUACGUU
rnacentral:rRNA from 1 species